AAGCUGAAACAAAAAAAAACAUGAGAGAGAAGGGAAAAGAAAUCAAUUUUAUUUAUUAUAUAAUAAGUUCAUAUGUGAGGCAUGACAGAAUGGAAUAAUCAUCAAACUAAUCGUAACAAAAAAGAACAUAAGGGAAUAAUCACUGUUCCAAAGUUUGCAUAUCAUGUGAAGAAAGAAUUUCACUGUGCUGUGUGUCAGGGACAGAAGACAACGGAGACAGAGAUCACGUAAAAUAACAGAGUUUGACAAUUUAUGGUGAAAUGAAGUGAGCGAGGGUGCAACAGUGCAGGUGAAGCUCCAACACACACACACACACACACACACACACACACACACACACACACACACACACACACACACACACACACACACACACACACACACACACACACACACACACAGGAUCACUGGAAGCAGACCCACGAGGAUUAGCUCCUUGGAUGGACGAUGAACUUGGGGAACUAUUGAAUAAAGAGAAAUAAAGAGUCAGCAUGACGUGAUGGCACGCCCCCCACAGAGCCCCGAUCACAACAUCAUCGAGUGUGUCUGGGAUCACAUGAAGAGACAGAAGGAUGUGAGAAAGCCGACAUCUACAGUACAGAAGAUCUGUGGGCCUACAUAGCGUCUGUUCAAUCCUUACGUCACCACGUCAAGUUCAGAUCGUCUGGAAGAAGGCCUUAAUGACCCCAACCAGAAUAAUAAACAGCAACAACUGAGGACAUAGAGGACAUACCUGAGCAGGUUUUGGAGCCCCCUGGUGUCUUACAGAGGAAUUGUAACUGCAGUGAAAAAAAAAAGCUCCAGGAAUCACUGUUUCUUAGUACACAGUUCAUAAAUUCCUCAGCGCUGUCUUUAGGUGAUCUCUGAACUUGACCCCCAUAAAGACAUAAAACAUUGGAUUGAGGCAGCAGUGAGAGUACGCCACCAGUCUGGAGACGGUCAAAACAUAAUCCACCGAGGUGCUGACGUGACACUCGUUGAACGGCGAGAUUUCAAAGGAUAUCAGAGAUUUGAGGAACAUGGACACGUUAUAAGGCGCCCAACCCAAGAAAAAAGUGAUCACGAUGCAGAGGAUGAGCUUGACGGUCUUGGGACGGGUGUGUGAUGUUGGUCUGAGCAGACGGCAGAGAAUUCGACUAUAGCAGAAAGCAAUGCUGCCGAUUUGAAGAUGCACUGAGGAGUUGCGGCACAGGAGCUCAGGAACCAGAUGAAUGCAGAAACCCCGAUGGAAUGGUAUGGGGUGCUGUUCCAGAGCACAGACAGCGGGUGCACCACGGCCAUGUAGCGAUGCACUGUCAUGACUGUGAGAAAGAGAAGGCUGCUGUAGUAACCCAGGUAGAAGACGAAGUGUAUGGAUUUGCAUGCGACGUCUCCGAACGUCCAACCCGAGAUGAGAUCGAUGGCCCAGAAUGGCAGGCCGAAGGUAAAGAUGAGGUCAGAGAUGGCCAGGUUCAGAAGGAAAGUGUUGGUCAGGGAUUUUAGAUUUUCAUAUUUAAUCAGCACCCACAGGACCAAUGCAUUUCCCACACAACUGAACAUGAUGACCACGGCAAAAAAGACGGGGGUGACCACUGCUCCGAACUGGAUCACUUCAGUCUUGUUGCACACAUCAUUGUCUGGUUCAUUAUAAUAGUCAGAAUAAUCACCAUCAUUAUAGCUACCAGUAGAGCUGUCAUUAUAACUAUAGCUGCUAUUAUAAUUGUUUUCAAAACUUCCGAUCAUGCUGAAAGAAGAAGUAAAACAUAUAUAUAAGUACAAAUUAUAAAGCAAACAGACGAAAUAGUACUGAUAACAACGAGCUGUUCUGAUUAAACUGAGAUUUCGGUCUAGCUUGCUUUUUUAAACAAGACAAACAAAUUUCACAUCACACAAAGCAAACAAUUGUACAAUAAAGUGUGUUCAUUUCAUUUCCAUACCUUAAUCGCUUCAAGGUGUUUAAAGGUGAAGUUAGUCGUUACUUUAUGAAACCAUUAGAAAUGAUUUGUUCCGUUUAUGAGAUACGACAGAGCACCACCUUUUUCUCAGUACCCAAAAAAACAAAAAAGCGGGCUUGUAGUAAUUUUCUACUGACUGCAUGUACAACAAAUAAUCAAGCUACUAAAUUGAACUUAAUAUUAGAUCUCAAUUAGAUUUGCUGCAUCAGAACUGGAAAGAUGACGAGAUUGAUGAAUGGGAAAAAAUCUUGUUGUAGUCUUGCUCACUUUUGACCAUUACAUGGUUGUCGAUAUUCUAUGUGCUAUUCAGACUAUUGCUAAAAUGAGUGUUAACUUGGGACUUUCACAGCAUUUACACAGUAAUUGAGAUUAAACUCAAUUGAACACUGAGGCAGAUGGUCUACAACAGAAGAAGACAACGUCCUCUUAACCGCUUCAAUGUUCCAAAACGCUCAGGAUUAAAAUAUACAUACAGUACAAACAUUGAAUAUAAAUGGAAAUCGGGCGUCCGGGUGACACCAUGUGAGAGUAAGACGUGUGUGAAAGCAGCUCUGCAAUUUUUGCUUUGAUAUAUGUGAGCUAAACUAAAUCAUGCCAUUGAGUUCAUAGAGUUCAACUACUUAAGAUAAUGGAGAUAGGUCAGUGAUAGUCGAGGCUAUCGACAAAAGAUUAGACCAAUUCUCGAUCUCCAUCAGAGAAGAUUUAACUGCUUAAAAAAGAGACGGAUGUCACAGUCGACCAUGAAAAGCACGAUGACAGAUCGACAAGCUAAAACAAUGACAGCUUGAACGUAGCACAAUUUUUACUCUUGACACGGUUUACAAAAAGAUGUGAAAAAGUUAACAAGCAGUUUCUUACAGCUUACAGACAAAUAUACGGAUCUGGAAGGAUCGCAGUAGAAGGGAAAACUUGUGUAUUCUAAUUAUUUUAACAAAUUUUGGAAAUUUUGCAAACUUUGACUACCUUUGAUCGAUCGUGCUAAACUUUCCUUGAGAGAAACUCUGAGCCUUCAUUGUCAAGACCUCCGGUGACAUGCAUUAUAUCCACAAUCGGCAAGACAUCAUCUGAAAAGCAGCACAGCUUAAAUCCAUCACCUACAAUAAAGAGAAGCUUCUGAUAUUUCCUGAUCUCCGGUGAUGUUUUGACUUCAUUAUCUCCUCAGACUGAUACUGUGUAAAAGGGGUCAUUAAACUAGGUUUGAGCCAUGUCCCAAAAAUGUUUUUUUUUUUUUUUUUUUUUGAUGUGACCUGUUAA